rnacentral:pre_miRNA from 1 species
UGCUGAAGAUGAUGAUGAUGAUGAUGAUGGUGGUGGUGGUGGUGAUUAUGAUGAUCACCUCCACCACCAUCAUCAUCAUCAACAUCGUCAUCAAUG